rnacentral:tRNA from 1 species
AGCGGGGUGGAGCAGCCUGGAGUUUUGGAAUCGGAUUCCAAAAUCUGGAAUUUCAAUUCCAGAUUGCUCGCAGGGCUCAUAACCCUGAGGUCAGUGGUUCAAGGUUCUUGUAUCUCCAAAAUCUGGAAAGCUUCGCUUUCCCGGAGGAGAAUGAGAAUCCACUCCCCGCUACCA